GAUAGACGGGAACCGUGAGAGAAGAAGACGAAAGUACAGUCUUAGACAUGGAGAUGAUUUAAUUGUAGAUGCCUAGAUGAUGAUGUUAGCAUUAAUUACUGCUUGUCAUUAUGGAUUGAAGUUUAGAAUGAUCAUUGAAUCCGACUUUUAAGGUUAUUGCAGUGACUGUUUUCAUGGAUGGAGAGUAAAACUUGGUGGUCUGAUACUGCUAUAUAUUAAUGAAAAUUUGGAUCCUUUUGGUUGGAAAGAUUGUCAGGAACCUGAAGAAACUGAAUUCACAAUAAACAUAUGUACACAAACAGAAAAAUAACAACACUGGUUGAUACAAUUCUAGGAACCGGAAGAAGUUAAAAGUUUGACUUGCAACGGAAAAUCCAGGAAAACAUGUCUUUUACUGAACAGUAUGAGAGAGCAAUGAUGAUUAUUGGAUUUAAACUGCUUGGAAAAUAUAACCAAAUGAAGACGAAAAAUGCGCUGCAUCAACAAACAAAACAACUACUGAAAGAUUGGGAUUCUAAAAACAAUUGUUCAAAAUCUUCUACAAGUUUAAGAAGACUGUACAUACAUGUAUAUAUAUAUAUAUUUAUAUAAGAAAGAAAAAAGUUUCAAGCACAUGCAUUAUUUUGUGUACAUAAAUGUAAUGAAUAGAAAAAAGGAAAGAAAAAAAAAAGGAAAACAAAAUGAAAAGAAAAAAAAAAAAAAAAAAAAAAAAUUAUAAAAAAGAG